rnacentral:rRNA from 1 species
GACAGAGGGGGCAAGCGUUGCUCGGAAUUACUGGGCGUAAAGGGCUCGUAGGUGGCCAACUAAGUCAGACGUGAAAUCCCUCGGCUUAACCGGGGAACUGCGUCUGAUACUGGAUGGCUUGAGUUUGGGAGAGGGACGCGGAAUUCCAGGUGUAGCGGUGAAAUGCGUAGAUAUCUGGAGGAACACCGGUGGCGAAGGCGGCGUCCUGGACCAACACUGACACUGAUGAGCGAAAGCCAGGGGAGCAAACGGG